UCAUACAAGAGCCAUCAGUGACCAACAGUGUGGGAAACAUAUCAAACCCAUCUGCUAAACACAGGUUUGCAAUCAUCUUUAUCCCUGUUUGAACAUCUAUCCUCUCUUGAAGCGAGUAAUCCCCUGUGAUUUUCCCGUAUGCCCUCAACAAUAUUAUCCACCAUAAACCUGAAAAUUUUCUAUUUAGACCAGCAUGUGUGUGAAUCAAACUGUUCAAUUAUAUGUUGCCAAGCUGAAAGAAUCAACAAUUAUCAAUUAUGUAUUCUUAGUUACCACGAAUCAACUAUACAAUCCUUUCUUACUCUAUUUAUGGGAAAAUGCAGAUUGAAGAAGCAGCAAAGUACUGACCAGAAUCAACGGGAGCAACACGACCUAUAGCUGCUUCGCCAAAAUCUGGAUCCAGAACCUCUUCGAACUUGUCCUCUUCAAGCGGUAAAGUUCUGACUUUGAAACUCGCAGGCAUUAACCCUUGUCCUGGACUAUAACAAUCAACUGUUUUCUCCCAACUCUGGAACCACAACACACACAACAACAAUCUAAGUUGUCCUUUCAUUUAAAUGCAAACUCUUUGCUUUUAAACAACACUUUGUGUUUCUUUAAGUGUAUAACAUCGCGAAUUGGCAUCAAUACCUGCAACUGCAGCGUGUGAAGAAGGAAGUUUCGAACAAUUUCGCUUUCUCCCUUCAGCAGAAAAGCCAGAG
rnacentral:lncRNA from 1 species